GUUGUAUAGUCAAGUAAUUAAGUGCAUGUGGUGGAUGCCUUGGCAGUCAGAGGCGAUGAAAGACGUGAUAGCCUGCGAAAAGCUCCGGGGAGGCGGCAAAUAUCCUUUGAUCCGGAGAUGUCUGAAUGGGGGAACCCACCUACUUUAAGGUAGGUAUUGCAACAUGAAUACAUAGUGUUGCAAGGCGAACGAGGGGAAGUGAAACAUCUCAGUACCCUUAGGAAAAGAAAUCAAUUGAGAUUCCCUCAGUAGCGGCGAGCGAACGGGGAUCAGCCCAUUAAGUUAUGUGUGUUUUAGUGGAACGCUCUGGGAAGUGCGAACGUAGAGGGUGAUAUUCCCGUACACGAAAGGGCACACAUAAUGAUGACGAGUAGGGCGAGGCACGUGAAACCUUGUCUGAAUAUGGGGGGACCAUCCUCCAAGGCUAAAUACUCCUGACUGACCGAUAGUGAACCAGUACCGUGAGGGAAAGGCGAAAAGAACCCCUGUGAGGGGAGUGAAAUAGAUCCUGAAACCGCAUGCAUACAAGCAGUGGGAGCACCUUCGUGGUGUGACUGCGUACCUUUUGUAUAAUGGGUCAGCGACUUAUAUUCAGUAGCAAGGUUAACCGUAUAGGGGAGCCGUAGAGAAAUCGAGUCUUAAUAGGGCGUUUAGUUGCUGGGUAUAGACCCGAAACCAGGCGAUCUAUCCAUGAGCAGGUUGAAGGUUGGGUAACACUAACUGGAGGACCGAACCCACUGUCGUUGAAAAGCCAGGGGAUGACUUGUGGAUAGGGGUGAAAGGCUAAUCAAGCCUGGUGAUAGCUGGUUCUCCCCGAAAGCUAUUUAGGUAGCGCCUCGGACGAAUACCAUAGGGGGUAGAGCACUGUUUCGGCUAGGGGGUCAUCCCGACUUACCAAACCGAUGCAAACUCCGAAUACCUAUGAGUACUAUCCGGGAGACAGACUGCGGGUGCUAACGUCCGUAGUCAAGAGGAAAACAAUCCAGACCGCCAGCUAAGGCCCCAAAAUCAUAGUUAAGUGGGAAACGAUGUGGGAAGGCAUAGACAGCUAGGAGGUUGGCUUAGAAGCAGCCACCCUUUAAAGAAAGCGUAAUAGCUCACUAGUCGAGUCGGCCUGCGCGGAAGAUGUAACGGGGCUAAAACUAUGUGCCGAAGCUGCGGAUUUGACAUUAGUCAAGUGGUAGGGGAGCGUUCUGUAAGCCGAUGAAGGUGUAUUGAGAAGU
rnacentral:rRNA from 1 species